UUUCCGUAGGUGAACCUGCGGAAGGAUCAUUAAAAAUGAAAAACGAAUAACUUCAGGGAAGAAGGGAACCUGCACGGUGACCUCCCCUGUCGGGCCACCCAAUACCUUCAAAAUGCCGCCGUCCUAGCGGUGGCAGACGAAAAAAAAACAAGAAAAACAAAAUAGAAACAGGCACGGUGGCCCGUUCACCUUCACACAACCCUCCGAGUACCGCUUCCAUGUUGCCUCCCCGAAAAUCCACCUCUUUGGUGAGCGCGGGGGAGGUCCGCAUCAAAUUCACCUGAAUGUCACAGCAGUCAGACAGCCAUUCAUGGAAACAAUAAAACUUUCAACAACGGAUCUCUUGGUUCCC
rnacentral:misc_RNA from 1 species